GUGCUCGCUUUGGCAGCACAUACACUGAAAUUGGAACAAUACAGAGAUUAGCAUGGCCCCUGUACAAAGAUGAUGUGCAAAUUUGUAAAGCAUUCCAUAUUUAA